GAGGCGCUCGACGGUCACCAAUGGCUGGGCGCCUUUAGUGGGAGAGUCUGAGACGCUCAAUGAUCAUUUGGAAAGAGCGAAGAGGGAAGGAGGGCCCUUUGAAGAGGCAGUUGUCCUGCCAGGUUAUCUAGUCGUGCCGGCAGGCUGAGCGCCUGCUCUGGGAAUCUGGGUCACUCCCGCUUGUUCUUUGAGCCUUUCGGCCAAAUGAAGUGGCCCUGCGGCUCUUGACAAUCAUUUCUUUACUUUUCUGCCCCUUCUUAGAAACUCUAACUUUAAACUUCUGCAAUACUGUGAUUUUUCAAGUCUCCUCGCUUUGCAAAUGUGAGUUGAAACAGAUGAAGUGGAUGUAGCAUGUGAAGACAAUUCUUCCAAGAAGUUUGGCUGUAUGGUAAAGGAGAAAGAUAAAAAAAAGGCCUAACAAGAAUGAUAAGUGUUUGAAUGAAAAUAAUUAAGUAUGAAGAAAGAGGAAGAAAUCAAAGAGAAUACCAAGAUUUCCCCCGAGUAAUGAAGAGGAGGUGGUGUACAUUAAAUACUAAAGUCAGCAGAAGGUUUAAAGACAGAAGGUGUUUGUGCUGAAGCCCAUAUAAGCCUGGAAGAGACAAACCACCUUUGUUACCACUUGGGGGCUUGCCUAAAACUGAAACUAAAAAAUCCAACCAACCCGGGAGACAGGAAACAAAUCCUGGAGAUGUUAUUUGAGCCCAGGGAUCCAGACAUGCCUAAAGACUAGCUUUACCACUGAACUCACUAGUUAAAUGAGCCAAUAAAUGCUCUUUUAUGCUUAAACUUGAGUUUUAUAUGGAUGUUCAUCAUUUACGACUCAAAGCAUCCUAAUACAGUGGUACAGUGGAUGGCAAUCCACCUGCCAAUGCAGGGGACACAGGUUCAAUCCCUGAUCCAGGAAGACUCCACAUGCUUCAGAGCAACUAAGCCCGUGGAACACAGCUACUGAAGACUGAGCACCUAGAGCCUGCUCCACAACAGAUGAGAAGCCCGUGCGCUGCAGUGACAAGUAGCCUCCGCUCACCACAGCUAGAGAAAGCCCGUGCACAGCAAUGAAGACCCAGUGCAGUCAAAAAAUUAAAAUAACUAACUUUUUAAAAAGAAACAUUCAGUUCUAUGUUCAGUAUUGUAAUAUUUACCUUUUUACAACAGUGUUUUCAUAAAGAAAAGAUAAGCUGUAAGAAUAAAUGAAUAUUAGAG